rnacentral:rRNA from 1 species
UACGUAGGUGACCAGCGUUGUCCGGAUUUACUGGGCGUAAAGAGCGCGCAGGCGGUCGUUCAAGUCGCGUGUGAAAGCCCCCGGCUCAACUGGGGAGGGUCACGCGAUACUGAUCGACUCGAAGGCAGGAGAGGGAAGUGGAAUUCCCGGUGUAGUGGUGAAAUGCGCAGAUAUCAGGAAGAACACCCGUGGCGAAGGCGGCUCUCUGGGACGGUACUGACGCUGAGACGCGAAAGCGUGGGGAGCGAACAGG